ACCUCCAGCUACUGACACGUGUCUUUAGCUUGCAAUCCUAACCCUCCAUUAAUCUAUUCCCAUUUUUUUGAUCUGCUUUCUUUUCCAUCUUUGCCCUGUUCAUUAUCUCUUCAGUUCAUUCACCAAUCACCAUCCCCUUACUCUUUGCUGUUAUGUCCUCCUUUCCCGUUAUUGAGUUUCUUUCUCUAUUUUUCCCUUUAUUAUUCUCUGUUAAUCAUCUCGGUUUCUUCCUCUACUCUUGGUCCUUCAUUUUCUUUUCAAGUACUUAUUGAUUUUCUUCUGACUUCCAUUUCUUUGCUGAGUUUCAGGGAAAAUGAAAUACAAAGACAAUCAUCAAUACCGAGGUCCAGAUGAACAUCAAUCAUGUGAAUAUGGUUAUCAUUGAUUUUGCUCUUCAACCUUAUGGUUUACUCAUAAAAGAUGCUUAACUUUUCAUAUAAUGUCAUCAACAAUGGAGGUAGAUUAAGAACUGUUCUUGAUGUGGGUUGUGGUGUUGCGAGUUUUGGUGGUACCUUCUCUCAUCCGAUGUCAUUGCUAUGUCCUUGGCACGUAUUGAUGUUCAUCAAAAUCAAAUACAGAUUGCAUUGGAAAGACGAACCCCUGCUUAUCUUGGUGUUUUAGGGACAAAAGGCUACCAUAUCCUAGCAGGUCAUUUGAACUUGCGCACUGCUCACGAUGUACAAUGGAUUGGCUUCAAAGAGAUGGUACAUUUCUUCUUGAGUUAGAUAGGGUGCUAAGGCUUGGUUGCUAUUUUGCUUAAUCUUCUCCGAAAGCAUAUGCACAGGAUGAGGAGGAUCUUAGGAUAUGGAAAGAGACAAGUGCUCUUGUGGAGAGGAUGUACUGAAAAGUAGCUGCAAAAAGAAAUCAAACAGUCGUUUGGGUCAAGCCUUUGAACAAUGACUGCUACAUGCAAAGGCUUCCUGGUACUCAACCUGCACUUUGCCGAUCUGAUGAUGAUCCCAAUGCUGUUUUGGAUUGCCAAUGGAAGCAUACAUCACAUCAUACUUGUGUUUUUUAUGUUGAUAGUUGUUAUUCUCUUAUAACUUGACCUUGUGCUUAUCUUUCUGGGUUUACAUGUUCUUUUCAAGGGAAAUCGUUGAUGAUCUCUUUCAAAAAUGGUUUUUGAAGAUAACAUGUAAAGAAGUAUCCUUCAUCUUGAUUUUAUAUCUUCUGUAACUUUGAAAUAUUUUUCAUGAGAAUAUUAAUGUAGAGUUUGGGUUGACGAAGUCUUUGAAACAUUAAUUUAGUAUUAUAGGGAUGAAGUUUCCAAAAUGGAUAUUCGGUGGGAAGUUUCUGGUAACUAUGGUCCUAAUAAUUUGGAGGAUAUUGGUGAUGUGAUACGACAUUUUGAAAUUUAUGGAGUUUUUACUUUUGAUUUUCUUGAA